rnacentral:rRNA from 1 species
UAAUACGGAGGGUGCAAGCGUUAAUCGGAAUUACUGGGCGUAAAGCGUGCGUAGGCGGUUUUUUAAGUCAGAUGUGAAAGCCCUGGGCUUAACCUGGGAACUGCAUUUGAAACUGGAAGACUAGAGUUUAGUAGAGGGGAGUGGAAUUUCAGGUGUAGCGGUGAAAUGCGUAGAGAUCUGAAGGAACACCAGUGGCGAAGGCGACUCCCUGGACUAAAACUGACGCUGAGGUACGAAAGCGUGGGUAGCAAACAGG